UUACCCUACGGGGCGCAGCAUUAUUUAAUCUUCCACAAUUUUCUAAAUCCUGAUGGAGCAACGCCGCGUGGGUGAAGAAGGUCUUCGGAUCGUAAAACCCUGUUGUUAGAGAAGAAAGUGCGUGAGAGUAACUGUUCACGUUUCGACGGUAUCUAACCAGAAAGCCACGGCUAACUACGUGCCAGCAGCCGCGGUAAUACGUAGGUGGCAAGCGUUAUCCGGAUUUAUUGGGCGUAAAGGGAACGCAGGCGGUCUUUUAAGUCUGAUGUGAAAGCCUUCGGCUUAACCGGAGUAGUGCAUUGGAA
rnacentral:rRNA from 1 species